rnacentral:rRNA from 1 species
UGGGGAAUCUUGGACAAUGGGGGCAACCCUGAUCCAGCCAUGCCGCGUGAGUGAUGAAGGCCUUAGGGUCGUAAAGCUCUUUCGCCUGUGAAGAUAAUGACGGUAGCAGGUAAAGAAACCCCGGCUAACUCCGUGCCAGCAGCCGCGGUAAUACGGAGGGGGUUAGCGUUGUUCGGAAUUACUGGGCGUAAAGCGCACGUAGGCGGACCAGAAAGUUGGGGGUGAAAUCCCGGGGGCUCAACCCCGGAACUGCCUCCAAAACUAUUGGUCUAGAGUUCGAGAGAGGUGAGUGGAAUUCCAAGUGUAGAGGUGAAAUUCGUAGAUAUUUGGAGGAACACCAGUGGCGAAGGCGGCUCACUGGCUCGAUACUGACGCUGAGGUGCGAAAGUGUGGGGAGCAAACAGGAUUAGAUACCCUGGUAGUCCACACCGUAAAACGAUGAAUGCCAGUCGUCGGGUAGCAUGCUAUUCGGUGACACACCUAACGGAUUAAGCAUUCCGGCCU